CACGUAGGGCGCAAGCGUUGUCCGGAAUUAUUGGGCGUAAAGAGCUCGUAGGCGGUCUGUUGCGUCUGCUGUGAAAACCCGGGGCUUAACCCCUGGCUUGCAGUGGAUACGGACAGACUAGAGGUAGGUAGGGGAGAACGGAAUUCCUGGUGUAGCGGUGAAAUGCGCAGAUAUCAGGAGGAACACCGGUGGCGAAGGCGGUUCUCUGGGCAUGUCCUGACGCUGAGGAGCGAAAGUGUGGGGAGCGAACAGG
rnacentral:rRNA from 1 species